UACGUGAGGCGCAAGCGUUGUCCGGAAUUAUUGGGCGUAAAGAGCACGUAGGCGGCCUGUUGCGUCCGCUGUGAAAACCCGGGGCUUAACCCCCGGGCUUGCAGUGGAUACGGGCAGGCUGGAGGCAGGCAGGGGAGAACGGAAUUCCCGGUGUAGCGGUGAAAUGCGCAGAUAUCGGGAGGAACACCGGUGGCGAAGGCGGUUCUCUGGGCCUGUACUGACGCUGAGGAGCGAAAGCGUGGGGAGCGAACAGG
rnacentral:rRNA from 1 species